GUGUUUUGUUUAAUUGAAAAUCCCAAACAAUGCUGACUAAGUGCAACACAUACUCAACGUAGCGCAAAUUGCAGUCAAGAAAUUUCAUAUUAACUUUGCAGCGUAAGAGAGGGAGGCUGAAAUCCAAUGCAAAUCUUAAAAGAAAAAUCAACUCAUGGAUCCAGCAGAGGCGGGGCCAAGAAACACACCUUCUUCUGCCUCUUUUGAAGUCUUAUGGGCUUCUUCAGACGCACACGAAUCGCUCAUGACCGAUGCAUUUACUACGAACAUAUAAAAUAUGGAUCUUUGACAAGCAUUAGAACAUAUUGCACAAGGCAUGAUUGGCCGGUUGUAAAGUGGCGAAGAUGUCUAUUAAUGGGUCACGUGACACCACAUCGUCUGCGACUGGAGCGAUAAUUAUUCGUGGUCACCGUACUCAGAGGUUUUUAAAAGACUCGUUGCAUCUUAUCAUACACCAGUAGAGCAGUAUGUGAUUCUGAUGCCAGUUCAUUCACAGACCCGCAUCAGUUUCGUCUUUAGUACUUAUGUAGUUUCUGUAUUUUCUUACAUAGUUUGGUUGGAAAUGAUUAAAAUUGUGUUGGUACAGCAAAUGUCACCUUUAGCAUGUAUUAGAAUGAGAACACUUGUUGAAUAGUUUAAGGCCGAUGAAUUCAUUAGUAUAUUAUUAAAAUCUAUGUAACUGCACGUGUGUCAUCUUCAGAGAUGCCCAGGAGUAACGAAUUUGAUGUCUGUAUUAGAUAAAGUUGUUAGCCGAUGUUUAUCUAUAUGCACUUAAAAGUUUUCACUGGAAGGUAUCGA